GCCCGCCGAUAGGACACUUCAAAACCUUUUGUAAUUGCAAUCAGCGUCAGAAAAACUAUAAUAGUUACAACUUUCAACAACGGAUCUCUUGGUUCUGGCAUCGAUGAAGAACGCAGCGAAAUGCGAAAAGUAGUGUGAAUUGCAGAAUUCAGUGAAU
rnacentral:rRNA from 1 species